rnacentral:misc_RNA from 1 species
UCCGACUUGACGUCGGCAGUCUCUUUAGAGUUCCCAGCAUUACCUGAUGGCAACUAAAGACAAGGGUUGCGCUCGUUGCAGGACUUAACCUAACAUCUCACGACACGAGCUGACGACAGCCAUGCAGCACCUAUAUGACGCUCCCCGAAGGGAUACCCCGCUUUCACGAGUUUACAUCACACUUCGAGCCCAGGUAAGGUUCUUCGCGUUGCAUCGAAUUAAACCACAUGCUCCACCGCUUGUGCGGGCCCCCGUCAAUUCCUUUGAGUUUCACCCUUGCGAGCGUACUCCCCAGGUGGGUCACUUAAUGCGUUAGCGUCGAUACCGAAGGGGUCGAAUCCCCCGACAUCUAGUGACCAUCGUUUACGGUGCGGACUAC